rnacentral:rRNA from 1 species
AGCGAACGCUGGCGGCAGGCCUAACACAUGCAAGUCGAGCGCCGUAGCAAUACGGAGCGGCAGACGGGAGAGUAACACUUGGGAACGUACCCUUUGGUUCGGAACAACCCAGGGAAACUUGGGCUAAUACCGGAUAAGCCCUCACGGGGAAAGAUUCAUCGCCGAAGGAUCGGCCCGCGUCUGAUUAGCUAGUUGGGGGGGUAAUGGCCCACCAAGGCGACGAUCAGUAGCUGGUCUGAGAGGAUGAUCAGCCUCACUGGGACUGAGACACGGCCCAGACUCCUACGGGAGGCAGCAGUGGGGAAUAUUGGACAAUGGGCGCAAGCCUGAUCCAGCCAUGCCGCGUGGGUGAUGAAGGCCCUAGGGUUGUAAAGCCCUUUCGGCGGGGAAGAUAAUGACGGUACCCGCAGAAGAAGCCCCGGCUAACUUCGUGCCAGCCGCCGCCGUAACAC